UACGUAGGGGGCAAGCGUUGUCCGGAUUUAUUGGGCGUAAAGAGCGUGUAGGCGGCCAGACAGGUCCGUUGUGAAAACUCGAGGCUCAACCUCGAGACGCCGAUGGAAACCGUCUGGCUAGAGUCCGGAAGAGGAGAGUGGAAUUCCUGGUGUAGCGGUGAAAUGCGCAGAUAUCAGGAAGAACACCUGUGGUGUAGACAGCUUACUGGACCACUUCUGACGCUGAGACACGAAAGCGUGGGUAGCAAACAGG
rnacentral:rRNA from 1 species